AGCUAUCACUGCCAAUCUAUCGCUGCUAAUCUAUCGCUGCCAACCUAUCUACCGCGGCGAAUCUAUCUAUCACUGCCAAUUUAUCUACCACUGCCAAUCUAUCUAUCGCUGCCAAUCUAUCGCUGCUAAUCUAUCGCUGCUAAUCUAUUGCUGCUGCCAAUCUAUCUAUCACUGCUAAUCUAUUGCUGCUAAUCUAUCACUGCUAAUCUAUCGCUGCUAAUCUAUCGCUGCUAAUCUAUCGCUGCUAAUCUAUCGCUGCUAAUCUAUCGCUGCUAAUCUAUCGCUGCCAACCUAUCUACCGCGGCGAAUCUAUCUAUUGCUGCCAACCAACCUACCACUGCCAACCUAUCUAUCGCUGCCAAUCUAUCGCUGCCAAUCUAUCGCUGCCAAUCUAUCGCUGCCAACCUAUCUACUGCAGUGAAUCUAUCUAUCACUAUCAUUACUAGUUCAAAAUAGAACUAGAGCAUAAAUACACUAAACUUCUUUUGAUAGGUAAUGAUUUUUGGUAAUGCUCAUAGCAUUAUAUCAUCUAUAUAGGGUAAAUCAUGGUCCCAUUUGGUCCCAUUUUAACAAAAUGGGACCAAAUGAGAUCAGAAUCAGUAAUUUAUAAGAAGAACAUGACCUGAGACUAGAUUUAUAAUAUAAACAGUGUAAAGUGACUAAUUUAAUAAACACUAUAUGAGACC
rnacentral:sRNA from 1 species